rnacentral:rRNA from 1 species
GGUGACGUGGAGCAAAUCGCCAAACCCGGUCCCAGUUCAGAUUGCAGGCUGCAACUCGCCUGCAUGAAGUCGGAAUUGCUAGUAAUCGCGGAUCAGCAUGCCGCGGUGAAUACGUUCCCGGGCCUUGUACACACCGCCCGUCACACCAUGAGAGUCAGCAACACCCGAAGCCUGUGAGCUAACGCAAGAGGCAGCAGUCGAAGGUGGGGUUGGUGAUUGGGGUGAAGUCGUAACAAGGUACC